AAUCUCAGUGACAAGCCUCAAUGGGUUAGGUUUGUAGGCGUGUACCCUUAAGUCCAUGUAUGCGGCUGUUCUGCUCAUAUGCUUUAAAAUUUUCGAAAUUGAAGUAUUGAUUGUUAACUUUUGGGGGGAACCAAGAAAACGCCUUCUUUGGUGGUUCUGUUUGAGGGAAACCGACACUCCUCAGUUCUUCCAUUUUACGGGAAAAAGUCCUUUUCUUUUAUCAUUGAGGAUCACUGUUUUAGUAACUAUUUAAUCUAUUUGACCAAAAGCAAUGAAGAUCAAAGCCUAGAUUAUUACAAAGGUUAAGACGAAAAAAAGCACACACAUUAAAUAGACAAUAUAGUUAUUGUUUGAGGUUUUUGUAUGUGUUAUUCAUUAGUGGAUUGGUGCUGUUGGUUUGAUAGGUUUUUGGAAGUAAGCCCUGAA
rnacentral:misc_RNA from 1 species